ACAAGCAACCUAAUUGCCUUCUUCUAUUUUUUUAAUGGGAUAAUUUGCGUUACCUUUUCCGGCAAAGAUCAUAAUUUGCGUUAUCUCCGAAAUAAAAUUAGUGAAACUUCUUUCCGUUACUUUUUCCGUCCAAAACUAGUUAGUUGAGUCACCGGUUCUGUGCAGUGGAUAAAAAACAAACACGUGGCAUGUAGCCACCGAAAAUACCCUCAUCUUCUACCCAUUUCCCGGCGCUGUUACAGCACCGCCACCAACAAAAGUAUCAUCUCAUCUUCACUGCCCAUGACUCCGUUUUCUAAAUUCCAAAUCAAAAUUCUUAGUCUUGUCAAUGAACAACUUUGUAUCUUCAAUUUCAUUAGUGGCUCACGAAAAUCAGGUAAGGUGAUAACUGAUACUUGAUCAAAGAAAGCAAAAUGGAAUAGUACAAACUAAAUAGUUUGUGUGUUAUGCGAAUUUUACAUGGUAAAAUCAGUUGAUUUUAGGAAGUAUUUUUUUGAAUUGAAUCAAAAUCAGUUUAUUGGACGAACUGUAAUUUUAUUUCUUCUAAUCUUUUUAUUUUCCUAAUUUUAUUUAUUCUGAUCAAAUACUCGUUCUGGUUAGUAGUUACUAACUUUGUGAUGUAAAAGCUACGAAAACCAAAGAUUUAUGAUGGGUUAUCUGAGACGCAAGAUUUAGUAUUAGAUUUUUAUCGAUUCUUAUAAAAAUUUGACAAUUUGAUUCGUUCUCAUUGUAUAAAAAAUGCAUGGAGGAUGUUUACAAGGUGUUUGCAUAAAUGAUACACCGAAAUAUUCUUCUUUAAAUACAAAUGAUGCGAAGAAGACGACUUUACGUUACUUAAUCUAGGUUCUUCAUGUGGUCUAAGUUGUUCUUAUACAUUUUUCAGUUCUCCAUUAAAUUAUUAUUGUUACUAUUCUUGUUGUUGAAAUGGGUUUUAUGGUUGCAGUUGAUGUGGUUGCACUUCAAUGGUAAUUAUAUAAUUUUGAAUGAGACCCACUUUUGCAGUUCGAUAAACAAAAGAGGUUGUUAAUUUGUCUGGGUUUUCAUCACCUGGGCAAGUUCAUAAUCUGUACUUUUUUGGGAAAUUGAAUUCAUGGAUUUUCUUCAAUUUUUACUUCUUAUUAAGGGUUUACCUUUAAUGGAUCUUUCUAGUUCUGUCUUAGUUCCACUUUUUUUGUUGCAGAUCUAAUGUUGAUGACGUAUUCGAAAACAAAAAUCUGAAGAUGAGACCUUAACUACUGAUACAAGGUGGAGAAGAUAACCAGUGAGGGUACUAUAGGUAGUUUGCUAAAAAAAGAUAUUUUUUUGCCACGUGUAUUUCCUGUUGAAUCAGCUAACUAGUUUUGGACGGAAAAAGUAACGAGGGGAGUUUUCCCUAAGUUUAUUUCCGUAGGGGACGUAACGCAAAUUAUGAUCUUCGUCAGGGGAGAUAUGUGAAUGGCGCUGGUGGGCAAUUAGGUGCCUACGGGUCCGCGGACUAUGAUGUACAGUGUAUUGCAGUAGCAAAGAUCCCAGAAGUGCGUUACUGUGAUGAGUGUCACUUUGCGUGUUACGUUUACGUAGAACAUAACAUCAUUACAGGAUAUAGUGGUACAUCGUGCCAAGAUGAUUCAGUCAAUGCUGGAGCAUACGUCUGUACAUGUUGUGCAUGAAUGAUGAAACCGCAACACCCACAAGCAUAUCACGGAUAUGAUCAACUUCGGUUUCUUUUCUCUGAUUCUCUUUUGUAAGUUUUAUGAACAAAUUUGGAUGUUGUUGGGUUACGAGUUUGAUCGGCCUUCAUUGGUCAAUGACUGUUGUUUGAAUAAAUGAAAUCAGGCUGCUGUGUGUUUGUCUGUUUCAUGA